rnacentral:rRNA from 1 species
GCAGUAGCCACGGUAAUACGAAGGGGGCUAGCGUUGUUCGGAAUUACUGGGCGUAAAGCGCACGUAGGCGGAUAUUUAAGUCAGGGGUGAAAUCCCGCAGCUCAACUGCGGAACUGCCUUUGAUACUGGGUAUCUUGAGUAUGGAAGAGGUUAGUGGAAUUGCGAGUGUAGAGGUGAAAUUCGUAGAUAUUCGCAGGAACACCAGUGGCGAAGGCGGCUAACUGGUCCAUAACUGACGCUGAGGUGCGAAAGCGUGGGGAGCAAACAGGAUUAGAUACCCCCGUAGUCCCUGUCUCUUAUAC